GCCUACGGGAGGCAGCAGUGAGGAAUAUUGGUCAAUGGCCGGAAGGCUGAACCAGCCAAGCCGCGUGAAGGACGAAGGUGCCAAGCAUUGUAAACUUCUUUUGUCAAGGGACAAAAUCAGGCUCGAGAGCCUGACCGAGGGUACUUGAAGAAAAAGCAUCGGCUAACUCCGUGCCAGCAGCCGCGGUAAUACGGAGGAUGCGAGCGUUAUCCGGAUUUAUUGGGUGUAAAGGGCGUGUAGGCGGGGACGCAAGUCAGAUGUGAAAACCACGGGCUCAACCUGUGGCCUGCAUUUGAAACUGUGUU
rnacentral:rRNA from 1 species